rnacentral:rRNA from 1 species
AUUGAACGCUGGCGGCAGGCCUAACACAUGCAAGUCGAGCGGAUGAAGAGAGCUUGCUCUCUGAUUUAGCGGCGGACGGGUGAGUAAUGCCUAGGAAUCUGCCUGGUAGCGGGGGAUAACGUCCGGAAACGGGCGCUAAUACCGCAUACGUCCUGCGGGAGAAAGCAGGGGACCUUCGGGCCUUGCGCUAUCAGAUGAGCCUAGGUCGGAUUAGCUAGUUGGUGAGGUAAUGGCUCACCAAGGCCACGAUCCGUAACUGGUCUGAGAGGAUGAUCAGUCACACUGGAACUGAGACACGGUCCAGACUCCUACGGGAGGCAGCAGUGGGGAAUAUUGGACAAUGGGCGAAAGCCUGAUCCAGCCAUGCCGCGUGUGUGAAGAAGGUCUUCGGAUUGUAAAGCACUUUAAGUAGGGAGGAAGGGCAGUAAGUUAAUACCUUGCUGUUUUGACGUUACCGACAGAAUAAGCACCGGCUAACUUCGUGCCAGCAGCCGCCGUAACAC